UACAGAGGGUGCGAGCGUUGUCCGGAAUCACUGGGCGUAAAGGGCGCGUAGGUGGUGGCUUAAGCGUGCGGUGAAAGCUCGGGGCUCAACUCCGAGUCGGCCGUGCGAACUGGGCUCACUGGAGCAUAGUAGAGGCAGGUGGAAUUCCGGGUGUAGCGGUGGAAUGCGUAGAGAUCCGGAAGAACACCGGUGGCGAAGGCGGGCCUGCUGG
rnacentral:rRNA from 1 species